rnacentral:rRNA from 1 species
CAGCGCCACAAGUGGGAAUCACAAUUAUUGGGCCUAAAGCGUCCGUAGCCUGUCUGAUGAAUCUCUUGUGAAAUCGUUCGGCUCAACCGAACGGCGUGCAGGAGACACUGUCAAACUAGAGACCGGGAGGGGUCAGAGGUAUUCCAUGAGGAGCGGUAAAAUGCUAUAAUCCAUGGAGGACCACCGGUGGCGAAGGCGUCUGACCAGAACGGAUCUGACGGUGAGGGACGAAAGCCAGGGGAGCAAUCCGGAUUAGAUACCCGAGUAGUCC